rnacentral:rRNA from 1 species
UACAGAGGGUGCGAGCGUUAAUCGGAAUUACUGGGCGUAAAGCGCGCGUAGGCGGCUUUGCAAGUCGGGUGUGAAAUCCCCAGGCUUAACCUGGGAACUGCAUUCGAGACUGCAUUGCUAGAGUAUGGGAGAGGGAAGUGGAAUUUCCGGUGUAGCGGUGAAAUGCGUAGAUAUCGGAAGGAACAUCAGUGGCGAAAGCGGCCCCCUGGGUCGGCCCUGACGCUGAGGCGCGAAAGCGUGGGGAGCGAACGGG